CGUGUAGGCGGACUCGCAAGUCGGUUGUGAAAUCCCUGGGCUCAACCUAGGAACUGCAUCCGAAACUGCUUAUCUUGAGUAAUGGAGAGGGUGGCGGAAUUCCCGGUGUAGAGGUGAAAUUCGUAGAUAUCGGGAGGAACAUCAGUGGCGAAGGCGGCCACCUGGACAUUUACUGACGCUGAGACGCGAAAGCGUGGGGAGCAAACAGGAUUAGAUACCCUGGUAGUCC
rnacentral:rRNA from 1 species